AGUGAACGCUGGCGGUAGGCCUAACACAUGCAAGUCGAACGGCAGCACAGUAAGAGCUUGCUCUUACGGGUGGCGAGUGGCGGACGGGUGAGGAAUACAUCGGAAUCUACUUUUUCGUGGGGGAUAACGUUGGGAAACUUACGCUAAUAACGCAUACGACCUACGGGUGAAAGCAGGGGAUCUUCGGACCUUGCGCGAUUGAAUGAGCCGAUGUCGGAUUAGCUAGUUGGCGGGGUAAAGGCCCACCAAGGCGACGAUCCGUAGCUGGUCUGCGAGGAUGACCAGCCACACUGGAACUGAGACACGGUCCAGACUCCUACGGGAGGCAGCAGUGGGGAAUAUUGGACAAUGGGCGCAAGCCUGAUCCAGCCAUACCGCGUGGGUGAAGAAGGCCUUCGGGUUUUAAAGCCCUUUUGUUGGGAAAGAAAAGCAGCAGGUUAAUACCCCGCUGUUCUGACGGUACCCAAAGAAUAAGCACCGGCUAACUUCGUG
rnacentral:rRNA from 1 species